GCGAGAAUGGUCAAAUUGGUAAAGGCAUAGCACUUAAAAUGCUACGGAGAAUUCUCCUUGUGGGUUCGAGUCCCACUUCUCGCACCA
rnacentral:tRNA from 2 species